ACAUGGAAGGCAAGCCACGUGGGAUGC
rnacentral:piRNA from 1 species